UGCAUGGUUGUCGUCAGCUCGUGUCGUGAGAUGUUGGGUUAAGUCCCGCAACGAGCGCAACCCUUGUCUUUAGUUGCCAUCAUUAAGUUGGGCACUCUAGAGAGACUGCCAGGGAUAACCUGGAGGAAGGUGGGGAUGACGUCAAAUCAUCAUGCCCCUUAUGCUUAGGGCUACACACGUGCUACAAUGGGUAGUACAGAGGGUUGCCAAGCCGUAAGGUGGAGCUAAUCCCUUAAAGCUACUCUCAGUUCGGAUUGUAGGCUGAAACUCGCCUACAUGAAGCUGGAGUUACUAGUAAUCGCAGAUCAGAAUGCUGCGGUGAAUGCGUUCCCGGGUCUUGUACACACCGCCCGUCACACCACGGGAGUUGGAGACGC
rnacentral:rRNA from 1 species